AAAAACCAGAGCCUUACUUGAGUAAAAACCAAUCUGUAAGCCUUUCAGCAAUCCUUGUAAGCCUUUCAGCAAUCCUUUAAACCCAUCAACAUCAUCAUCAUCAACAACAAUAACAUGGUGACGCUGCUGCUGCUGGGAUGAGGAGGAUGGGGAUUGACGACAUGGUGACGCUGGUCUUUAUGGUUCUUGACGUGCGAUGGGAUAUCGCAAGUCACCUGUUCACUUUAACCUAUAUAUAUAUAUAUAUAUAUAUAUAUAUAUAUAUAUAUAUAUAUAUAUAUAUAGUAUCGAAAAGAAUUUGAAGAAAUUUACAAAAGCAUAUGAGUUUAUUAUCAUAAACUUGUAUUUAAAUAUUAUAAACCAAUGAUAAUCGUAACUAAGGAUUUAAACUUAUUAUACUAAUAGUUCAAAUAUCAUCAAGAAUAAUAAUAUCUAAACCAAUAAUGGCAUUGAACAUAAGUAAAAAAUUAUAAGACACAGACAUAAAACCAUCAUAACUAUAUUGAUUCUGAAUGAUGAUUUUAAGAUGAAAAUAAUAUCGUCUGUCUGUAGUCACACAACCAACUGCAAUUUAUUCAAAUGAAUGGUUUUGGCAUGUCGGAAAAAGAAAGUCUUGUCGGGGAAGGAUCAAUAAAAGACUAAUGCUAGCUCAAAUUUCUGCAGACCAAGAAACCCAAACAAAUUCUCCGACAAAAAGAGAAAAAAAAAAUCCA